rnacentral:tRNA from 1 species
UUUAGGAUAGUACAAAAUAGUACAUUAAACUUAGAAUUUAAAAAUAAAUUUACUUUUUCCUAAAA